AAAAAAAUUAAAAUUAAUUUGUUGUAUUAAAUAUGAAGCAUACUUCAACAAGCAACAAAAUAUACAAAUAAAACAUACUUCAACAGAAACUUUCUUUAAUUCAAAUUCAUUUUGUAAUAUAUAGAAUUUGAAAUAAAUAUAAGAAAAACAUUUUUGGUUCAUUUUCAGGCAACAACUUUCCAGUUGAUUAGUGCACGAUUUAUUUACUUUGUUUUAGUUCAUUAACCAGGAAACCCUUGUUUUCCCCAUUUUUUGCCCCUGAUUCCUAAAUGGUUUGAGCUAUAACCCCCACAGUCAAUCCUAGCCAUUCCUUUGUGGUAUGGAAGCUUGUGUUAUAAUUACAGAGAGAUUCAUACACUUAACACAAGUCAUUGUCUGGAAACUACUAAAAUGCUUAUUUAGGUCCCUUUUUUUGGCCCUUAAUUCCAAAACUGUUGGGACCAUAACCCCCAAAAACAAUCCAAACUUUCCUUUCAAGGUUAUAAACAUUGUGUUUAAAUUUCAUAGAUUUCUAUUUUCUUGUACUAAAGUGCACUGUAUUUGUCGGGAAACCAACUGUCUUCAGAUGACGCGGACGACAACGACAACAUGAUACCACAAUAUGAUCGCAAAAUUUUUUUGUAGUCUUAUAAAAAUAAUUGUAAUUUAUAUAAAAAAAAUAUUGUGUAGUCAUUGCUUUGUGACCAACUUUAAAAGAUGUCCAAACUUAAUACCACUUUUUG
rnacentral:lncRNA from 1 species